GUUUGUAGACCAUUCUAUUUGACAGUUUUGCAUUUACUACAUUUGGUGGGGAUAAUUAACACCCCUGGGUUUAGUGGAAGAUGAUCAAAACAAAUAUGAAUUAAAACAUGAUUUUGCUCUUAACAACAUAUGCCUUACAAAACUGAUGGUACAAUGGCAGUAUACGGUAGUGGCAUUAUAUGUAACUUGGAAACUUUCCAUGAUGAAUUGUGUCACUGUGAUUGUGUAUACAGCACGAAGUGAUUAUAGUUAAAAGUAAGGGUCCCAUAUUCCUUUUAAUGUUCUAUUUUUAAGUCAUCAAGCUUAAAAUAACUAUAGAAUUCAAGCAAGACAAUUAUAUAAGCAUCUAAUUCUCCAAUUUCAAAAAUGUAAUGUCUGCAACGUAAUGUCCGCAACACAUUAUUCAAGACAUGUUAAUACUUUUUAUUGUCUUUUUCAAGUCUAAAAUAAUGUUAAUACCAUUUUAAAAAAGCAGCACAAAUAUAAUUUCAAAAGAGCUAGACGUUUGGCUGAAAAAUAAAUUGAAUUGUUUUUUUUGUUGCGGACAUUACAUUUCUCUUACCCAAACUUCGAUGCACCAUAAAUCACAGCAACACUGGAUAUUGUCUGUCUAACAUUGUCAUCAUGAUAUGUGAACCUUAGACUGUGU